rnacentral:rRNA from 1 species
GAUGAACGCUGGCGGCGUGCUUAACACAUGCAAGUCGAACGGAAAGGCCCUUGCUUGCAGGGGUACUCGAGUGGCGAACGGGUGAGUAACACGUGGGUGAUCUGCCCUGCACUUCGGGAUAAGCCUGGGAAACUGGGUCUAAUACCGGAUAGGACCAUCGUUUAGUGUCGGUGGUGGAAAGUUUUUUCGGGGUGGGAUGAGCUCGCGGCCUAUCAGCUUGUUGGGGGGGUAAUGGCCUACCAAGGCGUCGACGGGUAGCCGGCCUGAGAGGGGGUACGGGCACAUUGGGCCUGAGAUACGGCCCAGACUGCUACAGGGGGCAGCAGUGGGGAGUAUUGCACAAUGGGCGCGAGCCGGAUGCAGCGGCGCCCCGUGGGGGAUGACGGCCUUCGGGUUGAAAACACCUUCCGUCAGAGACGAAGCGAAAGUGACGGUACCUGGAGAAGAAGCACCGGCUAACUACGUG